AAUUUAUACAGUGAAACUGCGAAUGGCUCAUUAAAUCAGUUAUAAUUUAUUUGAUAUUCACUUACUACUUGGAUAACCGUGGUAAUUCUAGAGCUAAUACAUGCGUACAUAACCUCGACUUCUGGAAGAGGUGCACUUAUUAGAUAAAAAGCCAACGCGGGCAACCGCUUGUAUGGUGAUUCAUAAUAAUUAAGCGAAUCGCAUGGCCUUGUGCCGGCGAUGAUGCAUUCAAAUUUCUGCCCUAUCAAGUUUCGAUGGUAGGUUAGUGGCCUACCAUGCUUUUAACGGGUAACGGGGAAUUAGGGUUCGAUUCCGGAGAGGGAGCCUGAGAAACGGCUACCACAUCCAAGGAAGGCAGCAGGCGCGCAAAUUACCCAAUCCCGACACGGGGAGGUAGUGACAAUAAAUAACAAUACAGGGCCUUUACGGGUCUUGUAAUUGGAAUGAGUACAAUUUAAAUCCCUUAACGAGGAACAAUUGGAGGGCAAGUCUGGUGCCAGCAGCCGCGGUAAUUCCAGCUCCAAUAGCGUAUAUUAAAGUUGUUGCAGUUAAAAAGCUCGUAGUUGAAUUUUGGCCUUGGGUGGUUUGGUUUGGCCUUCAUUGGUCAAUGCCUUUUCCGCCUAGGUCUUACCUUCUGGGUUAGCUAGUGUCACUUCGGUGGCGCUAGUGAACCAGAACUUUUACUUUGAAAAAAUUGGAGUGUUUAAAGCAGGCUUUCAAGCUUGAACAUAUUAGCAUGGAAUAAUGAAAUAGGACUUUGGCCUUAUUUCGUUGGUUUCUAAAGCCAAAGUAAUGAUGAAUAGGGAUAGUUGGGGACAUUAGUAUUCAAUUGUCAGAGGUGAAAUUCUUGGAUUUAUUGAAGACUAACUUCUGCGAAAGCAUUUGUCAAGGAUGUUUUCAUUAAUCAAGAACGAAAGUUAGGGGAUCGAAGACGAUCAGAUACCGUCGUAGUCUUAACCAUAAACUAUGCCGACUAAGGAUCGGAUGGUGUUAUAUUUUAUAUUGACCCAUUCGGCAUUUCAGCGAAAGCCAAGUUUUUGGGUUCCGGGGGGAGUAUGGUCGCAAGGCUGAAACUUAAAGGAAU
rnacentral:rRNA from 1 species